rnacentral:rRNA from 1 species
UACGGGGGGGGGCAAGCGUUGUUCGGAAUUACUGGGCGUAAAGGGCGCGUAGGCGGCCUACUAAGUCGGACGUGAAAUCCCUCGGCUCAACCGAGGAACUGCGUCCGAUACUGGCAGGCUGGAAUCCGGGAGAGGGAUGUGGAAUUCCAGGUGUAGCGGUGAAAUGCGUAGAUAUCUGGAGGAACACCGGUGGCGAAGGCGGCAUCCUGGACCGGUAUUGACGCUGAGGCACGAAAGCUAGGGGAGCAAACGGGAGU